rnacentral:lncRNA from 10 species
GUAAGUGUUUUCAAAGUAAAGCCAGAAUCCUCAACUGCUUCUGCCCCCAUGAAAUCAUUACCCUUCAAUGAGCCAAUUCAAAUGCUGCUUCUUUUGUGAAGCUUUCUGCCACCACCCUUCCCUCCCAGAAUGUUGUACUUUCCCUGAUCUGCUUCAUAACACCUCCUUCCAAGCACACAUAGGAUUUCACGCAUCCUCUAGUAGCUAGGUGGUACAGGUCUGAUUUCCCAUCAGACUGUGAGCUUUUUGAGGGCAUUCAUAAUGACCUUCUUUUCUGUAGUGCCUACAAUUACAGCAGAAAAGCAGCACUCAAAAUGUUUGUUGAAGCUCUCCAGUGAACUGGGGUUCUAAUUAUUGAGUGAAGAACUUGACACUAAGUGGCUGUUGCCUGCAUUAUCCCAACCCAUCUCUGCAGAGAGAUGGGAGCAGCAGAGGGCGCUGUCACUGCAGGUGUAGGGGCAUUUUUCCUCUCCAUGACAUGCCAGAUGGCCCCCCGGGGCCACAGCUCCACCGUAAGAGUCCCCAAUUUUGUUUUGUUUUUUUACAGUGAGGGUGUUCUAGAGGAAAGGGCUCAACGAAUCCAAUUGCAAUAGCUCCAGUUUGUGAUAAAGAUGACAAUUUUUUUUUAUUUGAGACAGAGUCUGGUUCUGUUGCCCAGGCUGGAGUGCAGUGGCACAGUGUUGACUCACUGCCACCUCCACCCCCGGGGAUUCAAGCAAUUAUCGUGUCUCAGCCUCCCGAGUAGCUGGGAUUACAGACCCCAACCUCCAGCUAACUUUUGUAUUUUCACCAUGUUGGCAAGGCUGGUUUUGAACCCCUGAUCUCAAGUCAUCCUCCUGCCUCAGCCUCUCAAAGUGCUGGGAUUACAGGCAUGAGCCACGGUGCCUGGGCUGACAAAUAUUUAUUAUUGAGUUUGUGGAACCCAGAAUGAUCUAGGGCCUCAGUGGCCACUGAACCCUGGGGCACACUUGAACAAAAAUAUGGGCUUCUCAGCCACUAUGCCUUGACAUCCUCUCUAAUCAGAAGUUUGUGUAAUAAGUGCAAAAGACAAUAUUCACAGUGACAAUGAUACUGUGAACUGCCAUAGGGAGAGUAGACAUGACUGUGGUGACAAUGCAGCGGCAGCAGGACCCUGUCCUCUCAUAAGUGGGCAUCCUUUCCCCAUGUGAACACCACAUAGCAGAAACGCCCAUCUUCCAAAGCCCUUUUAUCAUGUUAUGAAUUAUUUACACUUCCAUAUAUUUCAGUUAAAGAGUGGUAAUCAGAUCUGUAUGGAUGCCACUUGGGUCAUUUGUCAUUUCACUUGAAGGCAAAGAAAUGUUUUUAACUGAUUUUAGAUGGAAUUAAAACAUUUUUGUGGGUCUCGACAAGUAUUGCCAGCACUGCACCUGCCACCCUGAUAGUUAUUAAUUACCAAUUUACUUUGUGUGUGUGAGAGACGGGUCUCGCUCUGUCACCCAGGCUGGAGUGCAGUGGUGCGAUUCCGGCUCACUGCAACCUCCACCUCCCGGGCUCAAGCGAUUCUGCCACCUCAGCCUCUGAAGUAGCUGGGACUGCAGAUGUGCGCCACCAUGCCCAGCUAAUUUUUGUACUUUUUGUAGAGACGAGGUUACGCCAUGUUGGCCAGGCUGGUCUCCAACUCCUGAACUCAACCUAUCCUCUCACUGCAGCCUCUCAAGGUGGUGGGAUUACAGGCAUGAGCCACUACACCCCACCUGUUAAUUGCGUCUUUAUCUCAGUAGGUUGAAGUAUAUUUAUACAGCCUCUGCUCUGUGUCAAGUACUGAGCUGAGCUCAGCAGUUGCAAUGGCAGGAACACAGACCCAGCCCUAUUCCUUAUAUGGCUGACUCUCUAGUGGGAAAUAUGGACAUUAAACAAACGACCACCUAAAUAUAACACUGCAAACUGGAGUUCAUGGCAUGAACCAUGGAAUGCUAUCAAAGCACUGGGAUCCCAAUCUAAUCUGGGCAUCAGAGAAAGCUUCCCUGAGGAAUUAAAAUUUGGAUGAGGUCUCAAUAAUUAGUUGAUGAAUUAGGCAAACAGUGGGAGCAAGGAUGUUCCAGGCAGAGGCCAACUACAUGGGUCAGGUGCACAGGACAUAAACCGAGCCAUCAAGAAGCUUCCAAUGUGAAAAGAGAAUAAACCCAUAGAGACAAGCAAUGAAGUGCUGCCAUGAGACAGAUGUGUGGAGCAUUUGAACAAUGGGAAAGUGCUGCUAGGAGAGAGGUGGUGUUCAAUUCAAUGAAAGCAAUGUAGGAUGAGAUCUGUAAGGAAGACUAGAUAAGCCAAGAGGCAUGCAGAGGAUCUUAUCCAUUUUAGAGCCCUGGGGGCUAUUUACUGGAGUAGCUGAAGAUAGCACCGUGGACACAGGCUGAAAAGGAAGGAAUUGCUAUGAGCUCCAUGUGAGGCAUCAUAGAUGAGACCUAUGGAGCUAUCCAAGAUCAUAUCCUGACACAGUGGUCAAAAUAAAGAAGCAAGUGUGAGCAGUGGUGAGGUGAUGGCUCAUUUAAAGAAAAGCCAUGCCCUGCAGACUGGUCCCAAGCUGGAGACCCCUUUCUCUAAUUGUCUGAAGAAUCCCUUUGGCAGGCUGUGUAAUACGCAUGACUCCAAUCUCUUGAAGUCUCUAGAUGGAGGCCACAUCCCAUUGCCUUUACAAAACAUCCUCUUUAUCCAUGGAUGUUGAUACUUGAGAACUUAACAGAAAGAACUUCAUUCCUUCUGUGAAGAUCAGUGAAGCUCAUAUUAUUAUCUGACUACAGAACUGCUCAAUGUUCAUCCCAAAAAAGUAAGACUCCCUUAAAUAUCUGCAUAAGAUUCAUUUUCUGUGUUUUAUUUUCCUAAUUUUCUUCAAAGAAGAUGUGUUACUUUUGUUAAUAAAAUAUUAAAAAUGUAAACCAUGGAAUCAGGGAAGGAAAAUGGCAGAUAGGAGGCAGGACUAAAUUACAGCUGACACUCAGAGGGACAGAGCAGCAUGUGGAGACUCACGUUGUGAAUUUUUGCUCCAGAACUACUACUGCAGGAUUAUACCAGGAAAGCCAAGAGAAUCCACAGACCCUCUGAAGGAAGUGGAUAGCUCCUGCAGGACCCAGGAGACAGCCCAAAUACUACACAGCAAGAAGGUGCAAUCUAUGAACCAGAAAGUGGGCCCUCACCAGACACUGAAUCAGCUGUUUGUGUCUAGUGUCUUGACCUUGGACUUCCCAGCCACCAGAACUGCCAGAAAUAAAUUUCUAUUUUUUAUUAGUUAAAAAAAAGUAAGCCAUGUAGAUUAUUCAUUAACAUAUGAAGCAAAAUGGAAUCAUAAAAAUGAAACAUUCAUUACAAUUUUUUGGAAACUGCUAUUUGUUUUGUUUUGUUUUUGAGACUAAGCCUCGCUGUGUUGCUCAGGCUGGAGUGCACUGGCUGUUCACAGAUGUGACCAUGGCACGCUGCAUCUCAAACUCCUGGCCUCAAGUGAUCCUCCUGCCUCAGUCUCCUGAAGAGUUGGGACUACAGGGGUGUACCACCACACCCAGCCUUGUUUGUUUUUGAAGAUAAGAUCCAUAUCUGAAUUUUUUAAAUCAGUGACUGAGCAACAUAAAACAUGAGGAUUUCCCAGAUUGCCCUUCUUUUGUUGAAAAUAUUAAAAAGUGAUCUUAAAUGUAUGGAUACAUAUAAAACACUAAGAUUUCUCCAUUUGGUUUAUGUACUUCAUAAUAGCUUGUGACAUGCUCAAAAUAACAUGAUUUUUUUCAAUUAUUUCUUUUGCUCUUUUAAAAAUCACAUUUUAUUGAAUUUAUUCAUUCAUUCAUUUUGAACACCUAACAUAUACUAACAAAUGUGCCAAGUCCAGAAGAUUCAAGGCUGAAUCAGAGGACAUCCUUGACUUUAAAAAGCUGACAGACUAGAAGAGCCAAGCCUACAUGAAAAUAAAUAAAUGCAAUACGGACCAAAAGCACAAUUAUCGAAAUAUGUGCAGGGUAGAGGUGCUGAGCAGUGGGAAGAUACAGAAUAACUAAUGCCUGUUAGCUGCUUCUGUAUGUAUGCCAGGUAGUGUUCUAAGUGCUUUACUUACAUAUAUUAGCUCAUCGCCAACCUGUGAUCGUUUCCAUUAUCAUAUUGUUACACUCAUUUUAUAGAUGAGGGACUGAGACAAAGAGUGGUUGCCUAGCUUGCCCAAAGUCACUCAGCUAUACUGAGUGGCAGAACCAGGAUUUAAAUAAUAUGAACUCUGUGCUCUCAACCUCUACACAUUUGCUGUCCAGACUGUCCAGCAGACUGUCUAGGAAGAAAUGCAAAGCACUUUAAGCAGAGAGGGCAGCUUGGGCAAGGGCACUAGUGCAGGAAAGACACAAGCACCUUGUGGAGUCAAGCAGAUAGGAUACCAGAAGGCUGAGGAAUAUGCCACAUCAUAGGGAGGCUUGGAUCAGUUUUGGUAGACAAUGAGAGGACAUUGAAGGAUUUUAGUCAGAGGAGUGAUGGGGCAGAUCUGUUUCUUAAAAAGAUUAUUUUGACUGUGUUAGGGAGGAUGUGCUGCAGAGGAUCUGGAUGCAGGUGGGGAAGGGAGGAUGUGUUGCAGGAGGAUGUGUUGCAGAGGGAGGAUGUGCUGCAGAGGGUCUGGAUGCAGGUGGGGGAACCCCCUUUAGAGACGACUUCUCCCAGGUAAGAAAAGGCUGUAGCAGUGGAGUUGGAGAGAGAAGAAUGGACCAGAGCUAUUUUAAGGAAGACUAGGCCAGUGCUGGUUUUGAUUAGUGGAUGUCAAACUUAGUGGUCGUUUGGUAUUUUUACACGAAACCUUCAACAGAAUCAACAGUGUGCUUCAUGAAGGCAGAGCCCAGAUUUGUUUUUCUCGCCGUUGUACUCCCAAGACUUGGUAAUGUGCUCAGGAAAUGCUUAUUGAUUGAAUGAGUUAAUGAAUAAGUGAAUAAACCAAGAAGUAAAUAAAAAAAAGAAUGAAUCAAAGAAAUGACUCAGUAUUGGAUUAGACCAAGUGCAUAAGAGAAGAAGUUAAUGGACUCUCAAAUGACUUGCCGAAAAGAUUAAGUCAAUUUCUCUUUUCUUAUGCAAUACAUUUUGUGUCCAGGCCUUUCUUAUGAGUAUUGUGUGUGGAACAUAAAGCAACCAACUUAGCUCCACGAUUUAGCUAUUGGGAGACCCAUGAAAGAGCCUACCCAGCCCUGCCUGCCUCUGGGGGUCUCGGUCAUGUCAUGUGACUACAUCGCUUGGCUCUGUUUCCAAGUUCCCCACCUCUAACCUCUCUGGAGCUCACAUUCAUCUUUCAAAAACAUCACUUCUGUUAUAUCACCCAUCACUCACUCCCUUCACUACACAUCUCUUUGCCCUGCUUUAGUUUUCAUCUGAGCACUUACUGUUUCCUGACAUUAUGUCAUUCAUUCAUUCAUUCAUUUAUUCAUUUUAUUUGGUUCUAUCUCUCUGUUAGUUUCCUAUUGCUGCAGUAGCAAAUUACCAUAAACUUAGUGGCUGAAAACAGAUUUAUCUUGCAGUUCUUGAGGACAGAAAUCUGAAAUGGGCCUCACUGAGAUAAAGUCACUGUGGCCAGGGCUGCAUUAUUUCUGGAAGCUCCAGGGGACAAUCUGUUUCCUUACCUCUUUCAGCUUCUAGAGGCUGCCCUCAUUUCUUAUUUUGUGGACCCCUUUGAUCUUUAAAGCCAGCAAAGGCAGCUUGAGUCUUUCUCAUGAUGCUGUCUCUCUGGUCUCACUCUUCUGCCUUCCGCUUCCCCAUUCAAGGACUCUUGUGAUUAUAUUGGGCUUGCCUAGAUAAAGCAGGAUAAUCUUAUUUUAAGGUCAGCUGAUUAGCAACUUUAAUUCUAGCUGCAAUUUUAAUUCCCCCUUGCCAUGUAACAACAUAUUUAUAGAUUACAAGGAUUAGGAUGUGGAUGUAUUUUUUUUUUUUUUUUUUGAGACGGUGUCUUGCUCUGUCACCCAGGCUGGAGUGCAGUGGCACAAUCUCGGCUCACUGAAACCUCCACCUCCCGAGUUCAAGCAAUUCUCCUGCCUCAGUCUCCCAAGUAGCUGGGAUUACAGGCAUGCGCCACCAAACCCAGCUAAUUUUUGUAUUUUUAGUAGAGACAGGGUUUCACCAUGUUGGCAGGCUGAUCUUGAACUCCUGACCUUGUGAUCCACCCGCCUCGGCCUCCCAAAGUGCUGGGAUUACAGGCAUGAGCCACCGCACCUGGCCCAGGAUAUGGAUGUCUUUGAGGGGCCAUUUCCUGCUUAGCACAAUCUGCCUCUUAUAGAAUUUAAGUCUCUUGAGAGCAAAACUUUAUCUACUUUGCUCUCUACAGUACAGCCAUUGAUUAGAAGAGGGCCAGUAUAUUGUAAGCAUGCAGUAAAUAUGUUUUGAAUAAAUCAGCAAAUCUUGUCCUUCUUUUUCACAAUCCAUCUCAUACCAAGGCAGAAUAAUUUUCCUUCAUAUCAGCAUGGAUCAUAAUAUACUCUUUGAUAUGGUUUGGCUGUAUUCCCACCCAAAUCUUAUCUUGAAUUGUAGUUCCCAUAAUCCCCAUAUGUCAUGGGAGAGAGCCGGUGGGAGGUAAUGAAUCAUGAGAGAGGUUACCCUCAUGCUGCUGUUCUCAUAAUAGUGAGUGAGUUCUUACAAGAUCUGACGAUUUUAUAAGGGGCUUCCCACCUUUUGCUCUGCACUUCUCUUUCCUGCUGCCAUGUGAAGAAGUACGUGUUUGCUUCCCCUUCUGCCAUGAUUGUAAGUUUCCUGAGGCCUCCCCAGCACUGUGGAACUGUGAGUC